GACGAACGCUGGCGGCGUGCUUAACACAUGCAAGUCGAACGGAAAGGCCCUGCUUGCAGGGUACUCGAGUGGCGAACGGGUGAGUAACACGUGGGUGAUCUGCCCUGCACUUCGGGAUAAGCCUGGGAAACUGGGUCUAAUACCGGAUAGGAGCCAUUUUUAGAGUGAUGGUUGGAAAGUUUUUUCGGUGUAGGAUGAGCUCGCGGCCUAUCAGCUUGUUGGUGGGGUAAUGGCCUACCAAGGCGGCGACGGGUAGCCGGCCGGAGAGGGUGGACGGCCACAUUCGGACUGAGAUACGGCCCAGACUCCUACGGGAGGCAGCAGUGGGGAAUAUUGCUCAAGGGGCGCAAGCCUGAUGCAGCGACGCCGCGUGGGGGAUGACGGCCUUCGGGUUGUAAACUCCUUUCGCUAGGGACGAAGCUUUUUGUGACGGUACCUAGAUAAGAAGCACCGGCUAACUACGUG
rnacentral:rRNA from 1 species